AUCUGGCUUAGUUAGGGGGCGAACAGAAAAGGGAAGUUUUCUCCCUGCGAGACCUUUUGAGGGGAUUCCAUCACUCAUCUCCAUGUGGUAUCCCCCAAGCAGUCUCGAACAUCA